CUGUAUGUAACUGCCACAUACAUAAUUAAGAAAUCAUCAUAUCCUCGAUCGACUUCAGUCACACACUCUCUUUUCUUUCACGUUCGGUCUAUGGUUCCUCAAUUUAUAUCUCUUUAUUUUAGUUUUUUUACUGUAAUUCGUUUUGGUCCAGCUUCAAUUCAAUGCAAUCAAGCUGAAUAAUACUUCAAAUUUCUAUAAUAUUUGCUCUCUAUAUGCUGGCACUUUUUAUUUAGGUUUGGAAGGUGAAAAAAAAAAGUAAAGAAGAAAGAGGGUGGCGUUCGAUGGAUCAGGCGUGGAUCCCAGAUAUUUGAUCUGGGUCAAUGAUUUGUUAACGGGUUUUUCUUAGGGUUUUGGUUGGUUUAAGAGUUGAUUAAUAAGAUUUGAUUGAUAAAAAGUAAAGCAGAUAAUGGAGUUUACCGAAGAGGCAGCCGACAGUGACGGAGAUGCCAGAGAUGAUUGUGAGAUGGAGGUAAUUGAGGGUGUUGAAAUUGGAAACCGUCUUAGUAAAAGAUGGGUUUCGAUCUAUAACUGGGUAUUCCGGCUUUGCUGAUGCUGUUAUGUAUGUGUUCAUCUUCCCUAAUAGCAGCUGCUCUUUUGGCCAGUCGCCGGCGACGGACACUGAGAUGGUUUUUAAUUGAAAAAUACAAGUGUCAGUAGUUGUAUAUGUUCGUCUUUGCUAUAAUUGCGGGUGACUAAUUAAAUCAUUAGAUAACCUUGAAUAUACAGGUGUCAACAAAAUAUGAAUGAAUAGAUGAUGCGGCUAUACAAAAUAUUAAACUAAAUCCAUAUCAGCAGCAAUUGAACAACACACACCAUUACAAGUGUUUAUUA
rnacentral:lncRNA from 1 species